rnacentral:rRNA from 1 species
UGAGCAAUCUGCCCUUCUCAUCGGAAUAAGCGUUGGAAACGACGUCUAAUGCCGAAUACGACCUCCUUUCGCAUGAUCGGAGGUGGAAAGCUCCGGCGGAGAAGGAUGAGCUCACGGCCUAUCAGCUAGUUGGUGUGGGUAAUGGCCCACCAAGGCGACGACGGGUAGCCGGCCUGAGAGGGUGACCGGCCACACUGGGACUGAGACACGGCCCAGACUCCUACGGGAGCAG